UGCAACGCAGCAUAAAUGAAAAGCUGUUUCAUGGCCUAAUGCGAUUGCACCGGCGAGUGCAAUACAGCGCACAUGAAGAGCUGUUCCAGAAAGUAUUCCCAUCAAAGGUCAGAUUUGCUCCAGCGAGUGCAAUACAGUGCACAUGAAGAGCUGUUUGAUGAGAAAACAUCAUCGUCAUUGAUGUAAGCUGGAGCAAGGAUAACUGGACAAGGCGAUUGGAACAUAUGUAGGACGCGAAAAUUCUUAAAUGACAUGGAAUCGAAGAGAAAACGGGAAUAAAAUAUUUACAAUUCUGAUCAGGAUUUACAUCUUUAUUCGAUAACUAUGUUGGUGCAGGCCUGCAGAACUGCUGAAUGUAAAUAUUGUAAAAGAAAGUACUUUAAAAUAUGUAAAUAUGUUCGUAUAUAAAAUAUGUAAUAAAAGAACA